rnacentral:rRNA from 1 species
CCACUGAGAAGAGUAGUGGCGAACGGGUGGAGUAACAACGUGGGUAACCUGCCCAUAAGAGGGGGAGUAACAUCCGGAAACGGGUGCUAAUACCGCAUAGUUUUCUUGAUCGCAUGAUCGGGAAAGGAAAGACGGCCUUUGUGCUGUCGCUUAUGGAUGGACCCGCGGCGUAUUAGUUAGUUGGUGAGGUAACGGCUCACCAAGACGAUGAUACGUAGCCGACCUGAGAGGGUGAUCGGCCACAUUGGGACUGAGACACGGCCCAAACUCCUACGGGAGGCAGCAGUAGGGAAUCUUCCGCAAUGGACGAAAGUCUGACGGAGCAACGCCGCGUGAGUGAAGAAAAGGGUUUUCGGAUCGUAAAACUCUGUUGUCAGAGAAGAACAAGUUGGAGAGUAACUGCUCCAGCCUUGACGGUAUCUGACCAGAAAGCCACGGCUAACUACGUGCCAGCCGCGGC